rnacentral:rRNA from 1 species
CCUACGGGGUGCAGCAGUGGGGAAUAUUGCACAAUGGGGGAAACCCUGAUGCAGCGACGCCGCGUGAGUGAAGAAGUAUUUCGGUAUGUAAAGCUCUAUCAGCAGGGAAGAAAAUGACGGUACCUGAUUAAGAAGCCCCGGCUAACUACGUGCCAGCAGCCGCGGUAAUACGUAGGGGGCAAGCGUUAUCCGGAUUUACUGGGUGGAAAGGGAGCGUAGACGGCAGGACAAGUCUGGAGUGAAAUGCCGGGGCUGAACCCCGGAACGGCUUUGGAAACUGUGCAGCUAGAGUGCAGGAGAGGUAAGUGGAAUUCCUAGUGUAGCGGUGAAAUGCGUAGAUAUUAGGAGGAACACCAGUGGCGAAGGCGGCUUACUGGACUGUAACUGACGUUGAGGCUCGAAAGCGUGGGGAGCAAACAGGAUUAGAUACCCGAGUAGUC